GGACCUCCGGUACAGAACGCUGCUAAGUGGAUGCCCGCCCGUCCAGCACUCGCCGUUGGAUUGAUUGUGGGCGGGUUUGGGCUCGGGGCGUUUGUGUUUAAUCUCAUUAUAACAUACUACAUUAACCCCGACAACAUACAGAUCAACGACAACGACUACUUCACUGACCAGGCUUUGCUGGACCGGGUACCACGCGUGUUCUUCCUGCUUGCCGGCAUCUACAUCGCACUGCAAGUCAUUGGAGUGUUUCUUAC